CUGAGAGGUUGAACGGCCACACUGGAACUGAGAUACGGUCCAGACUCCUACGGGAGGCAGCAGUGGGGAAUUUUGCGCAAUGGGCGAAAGCCUGACGCAGCGACGCCGCGUGGAGGAUGAGGGUUUUCGGAUUGUAAACUCCUUUUGUAGGGGAAAAUAAUGAUGGUACCCUAUGAAUAAGCCACGGCUAACUCUGUGCCAGCAGCCGCGGUAAGACAGAGGUGGCAAGCGUUGUUCGGAAUUACUGGGCUUAAAGGGCGCGUAGGUGGUGGCAUAAGUCCGAGGUGGAAGACUAAGGCUUAACCUUAGAAUUGCCUUGGAUACUGUAUCACUUGAGUCAGCGAGGGGAUGGCGGAAUUCCAGGUGUAGCGGUGAAAUGCGUAGAUAUCUGGUCGAAGGCCGGUAGCGAAGGCGGCCAUCUGGCGCUGAGCUGACACUGAGGCGCGAAAGCGUGGGGAGCAAACAGGAUUAGAUACCC
rnacentral:rRNA from 1 species